AGAGCCCGAGCCAGCCGUGCCGUGCACAGUGCCGCCGCCUCCUCCUUCCAAAUCUCGCCUCCCCGUUGCUCCUUUUUCCAAUUUAGUUGAGGGGAAAUAUUCCUCUUAUCCUCCUCUAUCUUUACCCCCAAAAAUCGGAGCUAAUCGUUGAGUAUUUUAUCCGAAUCGAACUCGUUUUCGAGUUUAUCUCCAAAACCGAGUUUUUGAUUUCCCGGAACGAUUUCUUGCGGGAGGAGUCCGAUCUCUUCAAUCCAAGGCUAUAAAUAGGACCCCAUAGUCUUCCUCUUUCGUUUGCCCCUCUCCCGUGGUCUCCCGUGCCCCGUAGCCUCUCCGCCGCCGCCGCCAAGUUCGCCGCCGCCGCCGGCCGAAAUUCGGCCGUGUCGCGCCGUCGCCUCCGCCGUUGCCGUCGGUCGCCGUCACCGCCGUAAGGUGCGCCGAGGUGUGGGAAAGCUCGGCCGCUCCCUCCCCGCUGUCGCCGGUCACCGGAGCCCCGUCGCCGCCGUCGACCGAAGCCGCGCCGCCGCUAGACCUCGUCGCCGGCCGUCGUCGUUCGUCGUUUGGUUCGAGGGUGAGUACCGUUGGGUUCGUCUCAUCGUCCUCUACGUGUACUUGUCCUCCAAAGUCGCAGCCAACCAUCCAAUCUCCGGCGAGGUCGCCAUCUUGGUCCGGCCAUUGAUGAGGUCAUCACGACGUCAUCAUCGUUUUUCUUUUUCCUGUUUUUCUAAUAGAUUAAAUCUUCGGAAAUUCAUAACUAAAUCAUCGUAACUCGGUUUUGAGUGGUUCAAGUUGCUAAAUUCAUCUAAAAUCAUGAUCUACAUGUUAAAAAUAUCCAUAUGUACUGUUUAUGCUUGUUUUUUACUGUUUAUUUGGUUUUUAUUAGUCUUUUUCUUCGUUUUGCGUGUUAGCUUGUCGUUUCCGUCGUUGCGAAGGUUCGUGAGUGCGUCGGGAAUAUUCAGAAGAUUAAUUGAAGACCGAUUAUUGCAAGGCAAGUCACACAGAUCCUAAACACAAUCCUUUAAGCAUGUUGAUCCUAUAUUUAAAUUCUCUAUUUAUUUCAACUGUGCAUUUAUUUUCGAAUGUCACUGGGUGGUGUGAAUCUAUUCCUUUGUUAUGGCCUGUUUGCAUUGAUUACUCUAUUCCUUGAUACCUUGGGAUAUUAUAAUUUGACUAGUUGAGCUUUAUAUAUAUUGGUUCAACUAGAUGUUAGAUAUAAUUGCUUAGCCAUGCUUAGAAACAUUAGCUCACUAAUGGAAUGAAUCAUAUAUACUACAUUAUUAUUUAUGGUUAUAUUUAAUGAUAGCUCAUGAUGGUUAAUCGUGUUAUGAUAAUUAAUUGGUAAUUAAAAUAUGAUUAAUGGUGGGUUGUGAGCACAUAGUUUUGAAGGUCGUGCUCAUGGCAAUUAAGGACCGGUUCGCGAGCUACUGUUGUGAAACAUUAACCGUGCCAACCACAAGCCAGCGUGGACAAUGGCUUUACCUUUUGUAUAGCAUGGUUCAUUGCAGAGCACCAGACGGAGAAGUGGCGGAGAUAAGCCCACGGGGGUCGCUGGGGAGUCCAUGCCUUGUUUUAUAAGGGGGUGAUUACGAUCCAGGAAUGGUGCACUGUGGUGAGUUGUGUUGUGUAGAGGGUAUUGUCACAGCCUCUAUUCGGGUACUUUCCAGUAUCGUGACGUAUGGUAGACAUGAUGUUGAGGCUAUGUCUUGUUGGUACAGUGGUACACCUUUGGCCAGAGUAAAACUAUUCGAAUAGCCGUGCCCGCGGUUAUGGGCGGGUUGAGCAAUGUUUUUCGUGAUUAGUCUCACACCUCUCACAAUAAUUAUUGAUGCUAUAACUGGUAAUAAUUUGUUUAGCUCCUGGUUUGGAGUUAGAUCUGUAUAGCCGGGUAUGGUUGUUCAGGAUGGUUGGGCCUGUGCAGCAUGGGUGUGCUGUUCAGUGUUGAUUAAAAUUUCUGAUUAAUUACUCUACUGUUUUACUACUCUUAACUCUUUGCUAAAUGCUGCUUUCGCAAAUGAGACUAUAUUGUGCCAUCCUUUGGUAUCCUUGUGCAUUUGCAUAUUUGUUGUGUGGCUUAUUGAGUAUGUCAUAUGCUCAUUCUUGCAAUAAUCAAUCAACCUCAGUUGAAGACAAGCUGCAAAGGAGAAGACGUUUGGCUUAUACCCCAGUUGAGCUGCCUGUGGGAGUGGAGCUGAAGCCAUCGCUAGACCGUUAAUUCCGCUGCUGUUUUUCUUUUCUUUUGUAAGUAUGUAACGUUAUUAUUAUGAUGGAUUUGUAUAUUAAAUUGUCAGUUUGUAUACCUCGGCUGAUUCCUGGACGAGGAUUUUAUGCACAAAUAAGUUCGGAAAUUACUAGUGAAUUUCCGGGCGUGACAGUUGGGAACCAUCGCAUCCGUUGCCAAGGAGCGCCUAGAGAAGAGGUGCGAUUGCCUUCGGUUGCGAUCCAUCCUUUUAUAUGGAUGAGAUCACCAUGUUGUUUCAUAACACUCCCCCUUGAUCAAAUCCAACUUUGAUCAUUGCUCUUUUAUUGUUCCAUAUAUCUGUAAAGAUAAUCUUAG
rnacentral:lncRNA from 1 species